UUAGAGCUGAAGCAAUUAUAUGUGGCAAUCACUCGCACAAGGAAAAGGUUGUGGAUUUUUGAGAGUCGAUUUUGCUCUAUGUUUAACUACUGGGAGAAGCUACACCUUGUCCAAAUUCGUGAAUUAGAAUACAAUUUUCUACAGGAGAUUCAAGUUGCAAGCAGUCAAAGGGAGUGGAAAGCUCGUGGUGUGAAGUUCUUUUAUCAGCAAAACUAUGACAAGGCACGAUUUUGCUUUGAAAAGGCAGGAGAAUCUUAUUUGGAAAAGUGGGCAG
rnacentral:misc_RNA from 1 species